CUUGAAAGAUAAGAUAGAAUAAUGUCAAGAUUCCCUUGUUUUACAUUUGAUUUGUAUUAACCAUAUGUUGUUGAACAAGAUUAACAUAAGCGAACAGUGUGUUAUGACUAAUGAAAUAAUUGG